GAUGAAGAACUUAGUGAAAUGCGAUAAGUAAUGUGAAUUGCAGAAUUCAGUGAAUCAUCGAAUCUUUGAACGCACAUUGCGCCCCUUGGUAUUCCGAGGGGCAUGCCUGUUCGAGCGUCAUAUUAACCACUCCCGCUUGCGGGGUCUUGGGCUUCGCCUCCGGGCGGGCCUUAAAAUCAGUGGCGGUGCCGUCGGGCUCUACGCGUAGUAAAUUUUCUCGCGAUAGGGUCCCGGUGGAUGCUUGCCAACAACCCCCAACUUCUUAAGGUUGACCUCGGAUCAGGUAGGGAUACCCGCUGAACUUAAGCAUAUCAAUAAGCGGAGGA
rnacentral:misc_RNA from 1 species